rnacentral:rRNA from 1 species
AUGAACGCUAGCUACAGGCUUAACACAUGCAAGUCGAGGGGCAGCAUGGUCUUAGCUUGCUAAGACUGAUGGCGACCGGCGCACGGGUGAGUAACACGUAUCCAACCUGCCGUCUACUCUUGGACAGCCUUCUGAAAGGAAGAUUAAUACAAGAUGGCAUCAUGAGUCCGCAUGUUCACAUGAUUAAAGGUAUUCCGGUAGACGAUGGGGAUGCGUUCCAUUAGAUAGUAGGCGGGGUAACGGCCCACCUAGUCUUCGAUGGAUAGGGGUUCUGAGAGGAAGGUCCCCCACAUUGGAACUGAGACACGGUCCAAACUCCUACGGGAGGCAGCAGUGAGGAAUAUUGGUCAAUGGGCGAGAGCCUGAACCAGCCAAGUAGCGUGAAGGAUGACUGCCCUAUGGGUUGUAAACUUCUUUUAUAAAGGAAUAAAGUCGGGUAUGCAUACCCGUUUGCAUGUACUUUAUGAAUAAGGAUCGGCUAACUCCGUGCCAGCAGCCGCGGUAAUACGGAGGAUCCGAGCGUUAUCCGGAUUUAUUGGGUUUAAAGGGAGCGUAGAUGGAUGUUUAAGUCAGUUGUGAAAGUUUGCGGCUCAACCGUAAAAUUGCAGUUGAUACUGGAUAUCUUGAGUGCAGUUGAGGCAGGCGGAAUUCGUGGUGUAGCGGUGAAAUGCUUAGAUAUCACGAAGAACUCCGAUUGCGAAGGCAGCCUGCUAAGCUGCAACUGACAUUGAGGCUCGAAAGUGUGGGUAUCAAACAGGAUUAGAUACCCUGGUAGUCCACACGGUAAACGAUGAAUACUCGCUGUUUGCGAUAUACGGCAAGCGGCCAAGCGAAAGCGUUAAGUAUUCCACCUGGGGAGUACGCCGGCAACGGUGAAACUCAAAGGAAUUGACGGGGGCCCGCACAAGCGGAGGAACAUGUGGUUUAAUUCGAUGAUACGCGAGGAACCUUACCCGGGCUUAAAUUGCAGUGGAAUGAUGUGGAAACAUGUCAGUGAGCAAUCACCGCUGUGAAGGUGCUGCAUGGUUGUCGUCAGCUCGUGUCGUGAGAUGUUGGGUUAAGUCCCGCAACGAGCGCAACCCCUGUUUCUAGUUGCCAGCAUGUAAAGAUGGGAACUCUAGAAAGACUGCCGUAGAUAAUACGGAGGAAGGUGGGGAUGACGUCAAAUCAGCACGGCCCUUACGUCCGGGGCUACACACGUGUUACAAUGGGGGGUACAGAGGGCCGCUACCACGCGAGUGGAUGCCAAUCCCAAAAACCUCUCUCAGUUCGGACUGGAGUCUGCAACCCGACUCCACGAAGCUGGAUUCGCUAGUAAUCGCGCAUCAGCCACGGCGCGGUGAAUACGUUCCCGGGCCUUGUACACACCGCCCGUCAAGCCAUGGGAGCCGGGGGUACCUGAAGUGCGUAACCGCGAGGAGCGCCCUAGGGUAAAACUGGUGACUGGGGCU